rnacentral:rRNA from 1 species
UACGAGUGGUGCAAGCGUUAUUCGGAAUCAUUGGGCGUAAAGGGUGUGUAGACGGUAUGCUAAGUCAGUUGUUAAAUUCUUCGGCCUAACCGGAGGCAAGCAGCAGAAACUGAUGUACUAGAGGGUGAGAGAGAGAAGCGGAAUUCUCGGAGUAGCGGUAAAAUGCGUAGAUCUCGAGAGGAACACCAAUGGCGAAGGCAGCUUCUUGGCUCAUUUCUGACGUUGAAACACGAAAGCGUGGGGAGCAAACAGG